UAUUGCUUGCGCCAUAGCGGCAGCAGUUCGCGCAGGAAAAUUUGCACUUAUUUCUUAAAAACCAGAUAAUUAACUGCUCCAAGUGUUAUACUAAACGAAGUCAACGCCAAAAUGCGAUCAUUCUGCAAAAUUUGAGCAAGAACAAUGCAGCGGAGGUGCCUGGAUCUUUUGGAAGCGAUAAGGUGACAGAUGGUGAGGAUGGCUGCGGCGCAGUAAGUUCUGGCGCGGUGGAUGCUUUAGUGGCCAUCACUGAGGAAACAAUGUGGUGGCCACUUCGGAGUUCUGUGUUGGGAUGAUGGUGAUGAACAGGCCAUCACCAAGGGAACAACAAGGCGGCCACUUCGGAGCUCUGUGCUGGGAUGAUGGUGAAGAACAGGCGCACCCAGCAUCUCUACCAGGAGAAUACCGGGCUCAAGUUGCCGCAGCAGGUCUUCCAGAUUGCGGAUACGGAUGGGCUCGGCAGGAUCGGCCAUGCAGGGCUCGGGACGCGGCAGGUCCCGGCGCGAGUCCUGGCCCGGGCUGGCAUGUGAC